UCUGAAUCUGCGUACGGCUCCGCACACCAGUUGUAAACCAAAGCAAGCAAGCCCGGUCUCGACGCCUUUCGGGGCUAGAGGCCGGGCUACAAGGAUAACCCUGGUAAUUCUGAGGCUAAUACUUGACACAGAACCUGCCGACUGGGCUUCGGUUCGGGAAGCGGGGGAUGUGCGACUAUCGGGCCAACAAAACCGGAAAGAGCGCACGUUCAGACCACUUAAAAAGGCUUCGGGUCCCUCGGGAUCCGGGGUUGUGGCUCUUGCAGCGUGCUUCUGACCUAUCAACUAGACGGCAGCCUAAGGGACAUGCUUUGGU
rnacentral:rRNA from 2 species